rnacentral:sRNA from 1 species
GUUGAUUGGGAAACUCAUCAAAAAAAUAUGAAAUACCGAGACACGCCCGGCGCCCAAUGGCGGGCCUCGAUUCCCUUCCGGGGGAAAGGCAUUUAUGCCCGGAGGAUUACAAAGGACGCUGAGGCACUCAAAUCCUGUCUAUCGGAGUUUCAUCACAUCCUUUGGUGUGGUUUA